rnacentral:lncRNA from 1 species
CCACCUUAUACUUCCCAGUGACGUCUCUGCUCUGCAGCCAGGGUGAGAGUUUGGCCAUUUGAUUGUCUCCUGACACACAGACUCCAUCAACAUGAGAACAGGUGGCGAUCUUGGAGUCUCUCACUCUUUUCUACCAAGUACGUCUACUGUUAGCAGAGGAGAUCAUGCUGUGGGAAUGGAGAGUGCGGCCUGAAGCAGCCAAUCAACCAUCAAAUCUGAAGGCUGUGGGGACCUGGAGGCAAUCUGCCCCGCGUGGACUUGGAGCUCCCUCCGGCUGCAGUCGGACUGCCUGCUUCUCCAGGGACCAACAUGGCAGAGGCGCGAGAUCACCCCUUCAAGGGCCUUGCAAAUCAGUAACUAACACUUAUCAGCCUUUAGCCCGUUUUGAUCCUACAUGAUUUUGACCUUAUGGCUUGACUUUGGAAUCUUCCGUCUAUAAAAGCAUGGCUCUGCUGUACAGAGUAAUUUCACGUUUCGUUCAGUCCCUCCCAUGAUCCUGAGAUAGGGACUGAUGCAAAAUCCACUUAGUAACCGGAAAAACAGACUCAGGUGUUGGUGAAUAGUUCAACAUCAUCAGUUGCUGAGUGGCAUCGUGCCUAAAUCCAGGUCCUACCACUACAAUUUGUUACUCAAUUAUUUGUGUCUCCAACUUUUAUGAUAUUUUCCACAACUUCUAGUACAAGACUGGACAUAUGGUGGAUAUUUAUUAUGAUUGUUA